GCUUACACAUGCAAGUCGAGCGGAAACGAGAAUAGCUUGCUAUUCGGCGUCGAGCGGCGGACGGGUGAGUAAUGCUUGGGAAUAUGCCUUUUGGUGGGGGACAACAGUUGGAAACGACUGCUAAUACCGCAUAAUGUUUACGGACCAAAGCGGGGGACCUUCGGGCCUCGUGCCAAAAGAUUAGCCCAAGUGAGAUUAGCUAGUUGGUGGGGUAAUGGCCUACCAAGGCGACGAUCUCUAGCUGGUUUGAGAGGAUGAUCAGCCACACUGGGACUGAGACACGGCCCAGACUCCUACGGGAGGCAGCAGUGGGGAAUAUUGCACAAUGGGGGAAACCCUGAUGCAGCCAUGCCGCGUGUGUGAAGAAGGCCCUCGGGUUGUAAAGCACUUUCAGUCGUGAGGAAAGGUGUGUAGUUAAUAACUGCAUACUGUGACGUUAGCGACAGAAGAAGCACCGGCUAACUCCGUGCCAGCAGCCGCGGUAAUACGGAGGGUGCGAGCGUUAAUCGGAAUUACUGGGCGUAAAGCGUGCGUAGGCGGUUUGAUAAGCCAGAUGUGAAAUCCCGGGGCUCA
rnacentral:rRNA from 1 species